UCUCCGUAGGUGAACCUGCGGAGGGAUCAUUACAGAGUUCAUGCCCUACCGGGUAGAUCUCCCACCCUAUGUUAUUAUUACUUUGUUGCUUUGGCGGGCCGUUAGGCUCCGGCCCGACUACCGGCCCCGGCUGGUAAGCGCCCGCCAGAGGACCCAAAACCCUGAAUAUUAGUGUUGUCUGAGUACUAUAUAAUAGUUAAAACUUUCAACAACGGAUCUCUUGGUUCUG
rnacentral:misc_RNA from 1 species